rnacentral:misc_RNA from 1 species
CAGAGUUGUAAAACUCCCAACCCAUGUGAACAUACCUCUGUUGCCUCGGCGGGCUACAGGGUAACUACAGGGUAACUACCGGGUAGGCCCGCCGACGGACCACAAAACUCUGUUUAUACUACAUCUCUGAACAAAAAACAAAUAAGUUA